rnacentral:rRNA from 1 species
UACGUAGGGGGCAAGCGUUGUCCGGAUUUAUUGGGCGGAAAGCGUGUGCAGGCGGCUUAUCAAGUGGUGUAUGAAAUAUCCAGGCUCAACCUGGAGGGGUUAUGCCAGACUGGUAGGCUAGAGUGCGAGAGAGGGGCGUGGAAUUCCGGGUGUAGUGGUGAAAUGCGUAGAGAUCCGGAGGAACCCCAGAGGCGAAGGCGGCGCCCUGGCUCGACACUGACGCUCAGACACGACAGCAUGGGGAGCGAACGGG